rnacentral:lncRNA from 10 species
GCGCGGGGAGGGGACGCCAGGGGAGGCGGCGGGGGGUCGCCGGCCACCGGCUCUCGCCACAAAUAGUUUCUCCGUCAGGGAAUUCGCCGGCCGCGCCAGGCAGGGAACAGUCAGUUCCAACUUUUCCCCCAGCGGCUCCUGCUGCAUUUCUGAGGCCCUUUCCCCAGAGACCUGGCAGGCCGAGCAGGGAAACAUUCGCUGGCAGGAACCGGGGGAGCCCGGCCCGCGAGGCCUCGCGCCUGCCCGGGGCCGGCGGCGGUGGGUGUGCCCGGGCGGCGGCGUGGCCCUGCGUCCACUGCUGUGUGUGCCCUUGUCUCACACGCCGUGUGUGUCCGCGCCCUUUUGUGGCGUGGCAGCUUAUGUGCGUGCAGACAGACGCCCUGUAUGUGUGCCUCCCUCCACGACAGCCUCCGUGCGCGCGCGCCUGCGUGUGUGGCAGGACAUGGCCUGUGCCUUUCAGCUCUGUGAGAGGCUAUUUCUGGAUGCUGGCUGCAUCCAGAUGUUGGCUGCCAGGGAUCUGGGGGGCAGCCUUGUGGCUUCUGGUCGACUUGGGAUCUGCUCAUGUCGGGCCAUGUGGCCCGGGGAAUGCCGUUUCCUCCCUGGAGCUCUGUCCUCAUCUGUGACAUGAGGGUGCUGCUGCCUUCCCUCCAACCUCUGCCUCUGGAAAUGCUGGCAAGGCACAGAGUGCUGCCCGCUUCACCAGGGCUUUGGGCCAGCGCCCUGCCUCUUCCACCCUGCCUGGUGUGGGGAGGCCUUUGGCCACCCUGCUAGCUGUCUCCACGUGUGUCCUGUGUUCCCCAGGCCCCAGCCCUCCUCUUUCUUAGUGAGGGGAGCCCCAUUCUGGUACCUCCAAUUCUCCUCUCUGUCUUUUGCAGCUAAUAGCUCCCCAUGACAGUGUCAGGGCAAUCCUAGUGGCCCAGCGUCCUGCCCCUCACCUCGGGAAGCUUCUGAGGACUUGUGAGGCAGGAACGGGCCUCAGCUACUGCUCUGAACAGGUGUUUAGGGGGAUUCCUGCCAAUCACUGCAUUCUGGGGUCUGGGUGUCACCGGAGUGAAGAGAAGUGAAUAGUUAACAAAAAGUCCAUCUGCAUUUCUAAACAAAUUUUUGGGAAUAUUAAAUCAAAUGGCAGCGGGCAGUGGGAUGUGUAAAUAAAACCCCCGUGGAAGUGCUGCGCGGACUCGUCGCCCGGCUGUCCUUGCAGGUCUGACACUGCACCUUCCACUCUGCACCACGGGGCCAGGGGAGCCCUCGACCUGCCCUCGGCCUUGAGGGCACCAGGUUCAAUCUCAUGCUGCCCUUUAUCCCCAAUUGCAUCAGUCACCACAGAAAGCCCCAGACCCCCUCAACUCCUGCACUUUGAGCCCCACAAGGCCCUAGACCCUCCUACAGUUGCCAUCUCUCCCCAGCCCCUGAAACCCUCCUACUGUGUUGUCUGUCCUAAGGAACAUUUCCAACAUGCUCCACCUCUUCUGGAAGCAUCCUCUUUGCCUUCCAGAAGCAGAUGCCAGGCUCCCUUCCAGCAGUGGCUCGACCACUGGCCUAAGGGUGGGUAUGGCCCCCCAUUGCCCCUCACUGCUGUUUCCAGAGCCCUGGCUCUGCAUCUUACCCCCAGCUAGGGAGGCUUCCUUUGUGCGGAUUCUGGCUCCUGGCUCAUGUCACUCUCCGGAGCACCACUCCUGUCCAGCCUGCUGCAUGCUCUUCCAGACAUCUCUGGCCUCUCCAUUCCUUGGCAGCUCCUCUUCCAGCGAUCCUCCCUGUUCCCUCAGCCAUGCACUCCCAAGGUCAUCUCUUAGAUCACUGCAGCAACCGCAGCCCCCCACUUUCAGUCCCAUGCACCCUACUCGCUGACCACCGUCUCCUCUUUUUCCUCUUUCCAGUUCACCCUGUCCAGCUCCCUGACCUCCAAAUCCUGCGACUCCUCUGGAACCUCUGCUUCAUUUCACCACUCUGCACCCCUCCCCACAGCUACCCCUUGCUCUUACACAUUGAAUCUCCUGGUUGUUUUGACGGUGACACAUAACACAAUUGACCAUUUUAACCUCCCUUGCAUGUACUUUUUUUUUUUUUU